AAGUCUGGGUGUCCUGCUCAGGCAGCUGCCCCCGCGACCUGGUCGGAUAAGCGGAUGAAAAUGGAUGGAUGGAUGGACAUGCACCACAACUCUAUUCUGAUUGGCUGUAGACUGUGUAUUACUCUCAGAUAACUUUAAAACUUGCUCACUCUGCAUCAGUUAAAUGUAUGUUCUGUUACAUUGUGUCAACAAACCUCUUGUAUGUACCUGUCAGCUGUGUGCUGGAGAUCAGAUCUGAGACAUACCCACUCAUGUUAAAAUGGAUGAGACUGAGAAGACAUCUUAGCUUGUUACAAUUUCACCUUUGAGACAGAAAACACAGUUAAAUAACGUGAUAUUUGAAUGUUUCUUGACUGGGGAUGAAACAUAAUGAAGCCAACAAGAAGCAGAGACGAGUGUUGUUAUGUGUUGCCUCACACGGGGCACCAUUAUGUAGUACUCCUGGGACGUUAAAAGGGAGAUUUAUGUUAAAUUUCAGUAUCAGUAAUCAUUAAUGAUUAUCAGGGAUCAUUAUUGAUUAUGAUAAAUAAUAUAAUCCCAUUUACAUUUGAUCACCUCGGGGCACUACACUUGAAGGAGGGAAAACAGCAAAUUUACCAAAUCGGUCUCAUAAAAACGUAGUAAACAGUUCAAUGCCCCCGUAACUCUGAGUCCGGACCCCCCUGUGGCCCCCCGACGAAGGAGUCUGCAUCAAUAACAAAAUGACAGAUGUCUUGCGAUGAUUUUGUACAGACGUGAAUGGCGGAACUAAGUGUCUCAGCGGGUUUCCAGUCGGACCACAUAGAGCGGCGCACGCUGUGCACCGCCUUGAGAGAACCGACCGGACUGCAGCGAGUGAAGAAAGAGGAAAGGAAAAGAGCGCGAAAAUCAAAACAUUUUGAUCAAACAUUUAUCAUGCAAACAACUGAACUGAAGACUCCUCCGACUGGUCCUCCUCCGUCUCUGAUGCUCGGUCUUCUGUAUCUGAUCCGUCAGCCUCAGCUGAAGCACCUGCCUUCUCACCUUCUUCAUCGUCAUCUUGUAUUUGGAUUUUCUUCCUGUUUUAGACUUCUUAGGACUGGACAAUGAGCUCCUGGGUUCGGGUUUGCUCUUCUUCAUGGUCUUGGCAUUCGAGUCAUCGUAGCUUUUUACAACUUCAACUUGAAUCAGAAAACACAGUUAACAUGAUAUUUGAAUGUUUCUUGACUGGAGAUGAAACCAACUGACAGCAGAGAUGAUGAGUUUUUGUGUCUUUCAGCUUCCUGACAACCUUUUUUAUGUUUUGAAGUAAAAGGAGACGGUAUGGACCAAAUUCA